rnacentral:misc_RNA from 1 species
GAUGAAGAACGUAGCGAAAUGCGAUACGUAAUGUGAAUUGCAGAAUUCAGUGAAUCAUCGAGUCUUUGAACGCACAUUGCGCCCCCUGGUAUUCCGGGGGGCAUGCCUGUCCGAGCGUCAUUGCUGCCCUCAAGCACGGCUUGUGUGUUGGGCCUCCGUCCUCCUCCCGGGGGACGGGCCCGAACGGCAGCGGCGGCACCGCGUCCGGUCCUCGAGCGUAUGGGGCUUCGUCACCCGCUCUUGUAGGCCCGGCCGGCGCUUGCCGACACAUCAAUCUUUUUUCCAGGUUGACCUCGGAUCAGGUAGGGAUACCCGCUGAACUUAAGCAUAUCAAUAAGCGGAGGA